GGGAAGCCCGCAUACUGGAUUUUUAAGCCUUAGUAUGGAAAAAAAAAAAUGAUCCAUUCAAGGAUUAUACACUGCAUUUAAUUGCCAAGUUUCUGUAGUCUCCUUCCUUUAAUCUGAAACAAUUCCCCAAUUUUUUUUUUAUAGCAUUGAAUAGUGGAAGACAUUUGCUUCAGAAAGUCCCUCAAUUUAGACAAGUAUUUCUCUUGUCAGGAAAACUACCUUAAGUGAUAUGUCCUUCUCAGUGCAUUAUAUCAUAAUUCAAAUAAUGCUGAUGUAUUGUGUUAUCUCUAAUGGUAAAUGUGGUAGGCAGAAUAAUGGCUCCCACAGAGAUGUACCUGUCCUAAUCUCCAGAGUAUAUGAAUAUUACUUCACGUGGCAGUAGGAAUUUUGCAGAUGUGUUUAAAUUAAGGAUUUUGAGAGAGAGAUUAGCCUGGAUUAUCUGGGUGGGCCGGAAAUCAUCACAGGGGUCCUUUUCAGUCAAGGAGGGAGACUGGAGAGUUGGAGUCCCAGUGAUGUGAUCCCAGGAAGACUCUACCAGCGUUUAACUGGCUUUGAAGAUGGAGGCAGGGGACCAUGAGCUAAGGAAUGCAAGGGGCCUCUAGAAACUGAAAAAGGCAAGGAAAAUGUUCUCCCUCAGCACCUCCAGAAAGAAAGCAGCUCUGCCAACACCGAGAUUCUGACCCAUGUCAGAAUUCUGGACUACAGAACCGUAAGAUAAUAAAUUUGUGCUGUUGUAAGCCACUAAGUUUGUGGUGAAUUUUUUACAGCACCAAUAGGAAACAAACACAGUAAGUCUGAUCAUUUGGUGAAGGUGCCUGCCAUAUUUCUCCAUUGUAAAGUUACCCUUUACACUUGUAAUUAACAAAUAACAACAACAACAACAAAAAGCAAAUAUCACCAUGAAGUAAUACUUUGAAAAUGUAUGAAUUUUCUGUUCCCCCUCAAAAUUUCACCCAGUGGUUUUAGCAUCCACCGAUUAUGCUUGCCUGAAUCAAUUACUACUAUGUUGACCGCAAAACAGUGUAAUUUUAUUAUUCACCUGUAAAGAACUUUCCUUUCUGUAUUCCCUCUUUUUAUUCUUUAUUUAAUUUUAAAAUAUCAGUUUGGACUCAUUCUUUUUUUAUUUUUGUGGUUUUAGUCAAUGUGUUAUAAUCUACUGCUGUCAUUAUUAAUACUUAAAUUGUUCCAAAUAUGGCCAGAAGGAGUGUCUGUAAGCUGGCUCCUGUAUUCUUUUGACAGGUCCCUAUAAAUUUUUGAGCAAUUACUUUCUAGCAUAA